UUGCAGAGGAUGCUUUUGGCGCGNNNNUUCCGAGUUCCCUGGAACGGGACGCCAUAGAGGGUGAGAGCCCCGUCUGGUCGGACGCCUAGCCUGUGUAAAGCUCCUUCGACGAGUCGAGUAGUUUGGGAAUGCUGCUCUAAAUGGGAGGUAUAUGUCUUCUAAAGCUAAAUACCGGCCAGAGACCGAUAGCGCACAAGUAGAGUGAUCGAAAGAUGNAAAGCACUUUGAAAAGAGGGUUAAAUAGUACGUGAAAUUGUUGAAAGGNAAGCGCUUGUGACCAGACUUGGNCCCGGUGGAUCAUCCAGCGUUCUCGCUGNUGCACUCCGCCGGGUUCAGGCCAGCAUCAGUUCGCCGCGGGGNAAAAAGGCUUCGGGAACGUGGCUCCUACGANAGUGUUAUAGCCCGUUGCNUAAUACCCUGGGGCGNACUGAGGUUCGNNNUNCCGCNAG
rnacentral:rRNA from 1 species